AUGUCUGCUAUGAUAGAGAUAUGUUCAAAACAUAUACUGCUUGUGAUGAUCAGAAGGUGUUGUUGGGAGACUCCCACUCCACUGAUGUUGUUGGAAUCGGAGAUAUAGAGCUGAAGUUCACCUCUGAAAAGACUCUGAUACUGAAGGAUGUGCUGCACACUCCUAAGAUUAGGAAGAAUUUAGUUUCAGGUUUUCUUUUAAAUAAGGCUGGGUUUACUCAAAGCAUAGGGGCUGAUUUGUACACCAUCACUAAGAAUGGUAUUUUUGUUGGGAAAGGGUACGCCACUGAUGGCAUGUUUAAGUUGAACAUUGAUAUGAAUAAAAUUUCUUCUUCUGCUUA
rnacentral:lncRNA from 1 species